AAUAAAUAAAUAAAUACAAUUUGAAAAAAAAAAACCCUACAAUUUUGUUAAAAAAGCCGUCUUACUAACAGCUGUAAGAGUUGGUGGUGCUGAAGGUUUAUAUAGGCACAGAAUAUGUCAUGUAAGUGAGCUGUUCACGAGGAAUGUUGAAAUAAGAAACGUUAAUUUAAAAUUUAAAACAUCAUAAAUUCACUGUUUAAGCAAAACCCCAGAAGGCUUUUUCUUGUAUCAAUACAAAGCAAGCUGAAAUGGGUUAAGAUGAUUGUCAGGAAAUUCCCGGUUCCAGUGAACGAUGACCCUCCUAUCCACUAGAGGUCGCUCUUUGGAAAUGACUUUGCCUCAGGCAGUCGGCAGCCUGCAAAAAGUAGUAUCAUCGUUCCUGUGGUUUUUUGGUCAAGUGGCGAGAAGGCCGCGCAUUUCUUAUGAGCUGAGUGGAGUUUGUGCUGGGCAAUUGUCCAGUAUCUAGGUUUCGUUUUGACUUUGUAACCCAGAACCGAAAGACUCCAGGAACAUAUUUGGGGAAAUGCUUCUAAAGGAUGGACCUUCCUUCCAUGCUUUAAAGAAGUUUCAGCCAGGACGGUGGUAUGCAGUGAAGAAAAAAACCUCUUCACAACUGAAUCUUCUCCCUGGGAGACGUCCAGGAGACAAGACAACAUUGUGGACCACAGAUCAAAAGCGGAUGAGCGUCAGAGGUGUUGGGUGAGGCCGUUAUGAGGUCGGAUUGCCCUGAGGGAGGUCUAUGAGGUGUGGAGGGGAGGGGGUCUAGAGCCCAGGAACCACUAAAUAAGACUGAGGUGCCCAGGGCAAGGCCUGGACAGAGUCCACGUUUCAUUUUGUUUCAUUUCAAUCAUGGCCCCAAUUCCUGGGCCCUCCCUGAAUCCACCUUGGCCAUGAGACUUUACAAGACAGAGUCUAUCUCCCAGCCCUUGCAGAUAGGGCUUGGCGUGUGACUGGCUUGGCCAAGGCAACGGGGUGGAGGUGAUGGAGUGUCAGGUUCAAGUCACAUACGUAUUUGCCAACUUGACUUUCUCCUGUACCUUUGCUCUCUUUAGACUACUUCUAGGAGGUAAUAUGAAUCAUAUUUUAAAUAUUUUACUACAUACAGCAGCUCAACUUCAUUUAUUCUUAAAUGCUAAUUUUUCAUUAUGUGAAUAAAUCCCAAUAUAGUUAUCCAUUUCCCUAUGGAUGACAUAUAAGUUGUUGAAGGUUUUUACUAAUACAGAAAAUAAUGGAAGAAUAUUCCUGUGCAUGCCUCCUGUAUACAUGGGUGAGACUUUCUCACGUGUGUAUACUAGCAAGUCAUGGAAUAGGCACACUUUAGAUGUACUCAAAUAUUGCUAAAUUGCUUUCCAAAGAUUUUGGACCAGUCUACUCUUCCCACCAGCAAUACAUGAGAAUACAUUUAGCAUAGCUUAGUGUCAUCAUCCUAAUUUUUGCACUUCUUUUUCCAAUCUGAUGGGUCUGAACUGAUAUCUGGUUGAUAUCAGUGGAGCCUCUUUCCAUGUGUAUAUUGACCCUUCUGGUUUUCUCUUUUGUGAAUUGUCUGUGCACAUCCUCUGUCUCUUUUCCUGUUGGGUUGUUUGCCUUUUUUUUUAAUAGACUUACUCCUACAA